CGCAUCUUGCGCUCUCGGGUUAUUCCUGAGAGCAUGCUUGUUGGAGCUGUCGUCGAAACUCCCAACCCCGUCCUUAUCUGUUUGGAUUAGGUUGUCUGGGUUUGGAUCAUGACCGUUGUCGAAUUCUUUUGAAUUGGACUGGGUUGAAAUACAUCAAGCUGAAUCAUAACGUGCGGCUUGACCUGUUGUUGUAAGCAUCCACUUUCAAUAGGAACGCAUGAUUUGAACGAGCUUUUCAAACGGAUGAACUCUGCUUUAGAGCUUUGGCUUUGAAACAGUGCAUUCCGACCUCCAAUCAAGUAGGACUACCCGCUGAACUUAA
rnacentral:rRNA from 1 species